rnacentral:rRNA from 1 species
UGGGGAAUAUUGCACAAUGGAGGGAACUCUGAUGCAGCGACGCCGCGUGAACGAAGAAGGCUCUCGAGUCGUAAAGUUCUUUUAUAUGGGAAGAUAAUGACGGUACCAUAAGAAAAAGCCCCGGCUAACUACGUGCCAGCAGCCGCGGUAAUACGUAGGGGGCUAGCGUUGUCCGGAAUCACUGGGCGUAAAGGGUUCGCAGGCGGAAAUGCAAGUCAGGUGUAAACGGCAGUAGCUUAACUGCUGUAAGCAUUUGAAACUGCAUAUCUUGAGAAGAGUAGAGGUAAGUGGAAUUUUUAGUGUAGCGGUGAAAUGCGUAGAUAUUAAAAAGAAUACCGGUGGCGAAGGCGACUUACUGGGCUCAUUCUGACGCUGAGGAACGAAAGCGUGGGUAGCAAACAGG